GUCCCCUCCCCGCCUUCUCCAUCCACCUCCUCUUAAGCCCAUCAGUUGAUCCAGGGCCAGGUUUCCCCGCAGCUGUGUUCUAAGAAGAGGCAGGGCUAUGGGCCGAGGAGACCAGGGCAGAAGGAACAAGGAACUAAAAGCUUUCCGAUUCACCCUUCAAUUUUCUGCCACAACCUAGACUCGCCAUUAAAGCCUAUGGCAUUGGAGACAUGGCCCAAGCCAGGGAAUGGACACACAACUCACUAGUAACACUCCCUAGUGUAACCUCAGCAAUUUAAUCCUUCCCAGCCUCUACUUCACCUUCUGUAAAAUGGGUCAAUAACGGUGCUUACCUCAGAGGGUUGCCGGGAGGCCCAAGUGAGGUGAUGUGUCUGGCGGGCUUUGUAAAUAUCUGGCAUGAAGCGAAGGCUUGAUGAACGAUAGCUCUGAGGAGAUUCUCACUGAAGCCUCAAGGUAACACGCCGAGGCACAGAGAUACGGGCCACGUGUGUCUUCAGCCAGCAGGAGGCUUUCUGCCAGGAGUCUGGAACGGAUCAACCUUGGACCCCCAAAGCCCCAACGUUAGAAGCUGGUCACCUACAGGAGGCUUUCUGACGCAGAGCCCUGCCCUCGGGUUGCUUGCCACAAGUCCGGUAGGGGAAACGACACUGUACGUCUAGAGGGAAACCACGGGAGCAGAGGUAGGGAACCCGGACGAGGGAGUAGGGGUAGGGGUAAAACUCAUUCUCCCAGCCAGAGCAGGAGGUGGAAGUUAUGGCGAGCCUCACAGGACAGACCAUCCCUUCCCCAGUGCUUGUCCAGGCCAGUGCCUCUCGGAGUACAGUCUGCUGACCCUUGGCUGGGCAUCACUUCUAACGAUGCAAAGGCUGGAGAAAGCUGCUGAGGCCAGGAAUCAGCCAGGAGCACCGAACCCGUGCCCCUAGCGAUCACAGUGUGCUUCCUCACGCUAUGUUCCCUGGGGGGAAAGCCAGCUUUACUCGAGAAGAAACAGGAGGAAGUGUGCCUUGUCUUCAAUUAAAUAUGGUCUGCAUACACCGGGCGCAUCAGCUCUCUACCAACGUGGGAGGGAGUGCAGCACUGCUCACUGCUCUUUUCAUGGCGUGUCAUUUUGACUUGAUGGAACGACUAAUUGAAAAACUCUGGUUAGUUGGACCUGAAUAUUUGGUAGAUAUUUUCUCAAAAAUGAAACACAUGGACCUCUCGCUUCAAAGACAACAGCUGAGUGUACUGGUGGUCAGUUAUAAAAUCCAGGCUUUGGGGGGAAAGUUCAAGUCUUGAAAAAUUUGUAUCUGCCUUUGUGAAUGCAAGAGUUUCCCAAAUACGCAGACUUUUCUGAAGAGAUCAGGGGUGAUGUGAACGAAUGUGACUUUAAAAAACUCACUGUAUAACAUAUAAAGUGUGUUAACAUUUGGAACAUAGGCAGAAAUCAGAGUUCCAGUAUUUUCCAAAUGCCCAAUGCAUACUGCUACAAAAUCACACAUAGGUCAGAGAUCCAUUCAAAGUGUUACACAGGGGCGCCUGGGUGGCUCAGCCGGUUGGGCAUCAAACUCUUGGUUUCAGCUCAGGUCAUGAUC